GACGAACGCUGGCGGCGUGCUUAACACAUGCCAGUCGAACGGAAAGGCCCUGCUUGUGUGGGGUGCUCGAGUGGCGAACGGGUGAGUAACAGGUGAGUAACCUGCCCUUGACUUUGGGAUAACUUCAGGAAACUGGGGCUAAUACCGGAUCGGAUCCCCUGCUGCAUGGUGGGCGUUGGAAAGUCUCGGCAGUUGGGGAUGGACUCGCGGCUUAUCAGCUUGUUGGUGGGGUAGUGGCUUACCAAGGCUUUGACGGGUAGCCGGCCUGAGAGGGUGACCGGGCACAUUGGGACUGAGAGACGGCCCAGAGUCCUACGGGGGGCAGCAGUGGGAAAUAUUACACAAUGGGAGGAAGCCUGAUGCAGAAACGCCGCGUGCGUGAUGACGGCCUUCGGGUUGUGAACCGCUUUCGCCUGUGACGAAGCGUGAGUGACGGUAAUGGGUGAAGAAGCACCGGCUAACUACGUG
rnacentral:rRNA from 1 species